GUAAGAAUUAUAUAAUUCAAGCUUCUAACUUGAUUUUUGGGGAUCAUUUCUCCGUUCUUAUA
rnacentral:tRNA from 1 species